rnacentral:lncRNA from 11 species
CUGUCUACUGCAUAUCCCCAAGUGUCUGUAAACACUGUUCUUCCUUUAAACAUUUCAGGUCUUGUGCAGAGAAGCAUGAAGGACAAGCACUAGAAUUGUCUCUACAGCAGAAUACCAGACAUGAAACAUUAGAAUUGCUAGUACUCAGGCACCAGCUGAAGCCUCAAGGAAAUGUUAUUCCAGAUGUAGAGACAAAUUGCAGGGAAACAGCUUCCCCAUGAAACAAUACUUCUCGUGCCAUUGGAUACAGCAGAAC